GCGUAUUCUCAGGGCGGGGUGAAAUUCCCCACCGGCGGUAUGUGGGGCGUGACCUUACGAGCCCGCGAGCGGCCUUUCCCGAACUGAAGGGUUUCAGCAGAUCUGGUGAGAUGCCAGAGCCGACGGUCAUAGUCCGGAUGAAAGAGAAUGCGA
rnacentral:ncRNA from 19 species